GGGUAGGGAUAACUGGAGAUCAUUUAUGGUGUUAUGUUGGAUGAUAGCAACUCAUUAACCUUCACCACUAAAUCCUGUCUUCUUUUAUCUUUUGCCUGUCUUUUCCUAGGUUCUAUGGCCCUACAAGCAACUAGUUGCAGUCUCAAACCAGCAGUCCAGAUCCAUGUCAGUGCCAAAUUUACAACUACUGAUGAUAUACAAGAUGUUAGAAUUUGCAACUCUAUGCUCCAACUCUUUCAGACUGGGG
rnacentral:lncRNA from 1 species